rnacentral:pre_miRNA from 1 species
UCUUUUGGAUGAGCAAAGAAAGUAGUUUCUUGAGAUUGAAUCUACUCCUCGGGAAAAUGCUGUGAA